rnacentral:rRNA from 1 species
AACACUCAUCACCCUGUGACAUACCUAAAACGUUGCUUCGGCGGGAACAGACGGCCCUGUAACAACGGGCCGCCCCCGCCAGAGGACCCCUAACUCUGUUUUUAUAAUGUUUUUCUGAGUAAACAAGCAAAUAAAUUAAAACUUUCAACAACGGAUCUCUUGGCUCUGGCAUCGAUGAAGAACGCAGCGAAAUGCGAUAAGUAAUGUGAAUUGCAGAAUUCAGUGAAUCAUCGAAUCUUUGAACGCACAUUGCGCCCGCCAGUAUUCUGGCGGGCAUGCCUGUUCGAGCGUCAUUACAACCCUCAGGCCCCCGGGCCUGGCGUUGGGGAUCGGCGGAAGCCCCCUGUGGGCACACGCCGUCCCUCAAAUACAGUGGCGGUCCCGCCGCAGCUUCCAUUGCGUAGUAGCUAACACCUCGCAACUGGAGAGCGGCGCGGCCAUGCCGUAAAACACCCAACUUCUGAAUGUUGACCUCGAAUCAGGUAGGAAUACCCGCUGAACUUAAGCAUAUCAAUAAGCGGAGGA